UACGUAGGCGGCAAGCGUUGUCCGGAAUUAUUGGGCGUAAAGCGCGCGCAGGCGGUCCUUUAAGUCUGAUGUGAAAGCCCACGGCUCAACCGUGGAGGGUCAUUGGAAACUGGGGGACUUGAGUGCAGAAGAGGAAAGCGGAAUUCCACGUGUAGCGGUGAAAUGCGUAGAGAUGUGGAGGAACACCAGUGGCGAAGGCGGCUUUCUGGUCUGUAACUGACGCUGAGGCGCGAAAGCGUGGGGAGCAAACAGG
rnacentral:rRNA from 1 species